GCGAGAGUAGUACAAUGGCAGUACAUUAGCUUCCCAAGCUAGAAACGCGGGUUCGAUUCCCGUCUCUCGCUCCA
rnacentral:tRNA from 1 species